GAUGAACGCUGGCGGCGUGCUUAACACAUGCAAGUCGAACGGAAAGGCCCUGCUUUUGUGGGGUGCUCGAGAGGCGAAGGGGUGAGAAACACGCGAGUAACCCCCCCUUGUCUUUGGGAUAACUUCAGGAAAAUGGGGCUAAUACCGCAUAUGAUCUCCUGCAGCGUGGUGGGGGUUGGAAAGUUUCGGCUGUUGGGGAUGGACUCGCGGCUUAUGAGCUUGUUGGUGGGGUAGGUGCUUACAAAGGCUGAGACGGCUAGCCGGCCUGAGAGGGGGACCGGCCACAAUGGGCCUGAGGUACGGAGCAGUAGCCUACGGGAGGCAGAGGGGGGGAACAUGGCAGAAUGGGCGGAAGCCUGAUGCAGCGAUGCCGCGUGCGGGAUGACGGCCUUCGGGUUGUAAACAGCUUUGUCCGGUGACGAAGCGUGAGUGACGGUAAUGGAUAAAGAAGCCCCGGCUAACUACGUG
rnacentral:rRNA from 1 species